ensembl:lincRNA
CCACACUGAGGGUGCCAGAGGAUGGAUGCUCCACAGGGAGCCUCUUCUUCUGGGCAACAGGCUAAUCUCAAACUGAAUUUAGGAAAUUUUUUCAAUCACUGGAAAUCAGACAUUAAUGGAAUUAAUCUGGGGAGCAGGCAUCACUCCCAAGAGAAUGGAACAUAGGCUAGGUGAAUUUUACAAGGCAUGGGAAAGGGCCUUGUAAAUCAAACAUUUCUCUACCCAUUUUUUUUCUUCAUUUCUGCAGAAAUGUGCUUGAUCUAUAUCACUGGAAAUCAGACUAAACAGCUAUCAGUGUAGAGCCUCCAGAGCCUUCUGAUGAAGCUCCUUCCUUUUAUACUCAGGACCCUUUACUGGAUGGGACAGAACCAGGACCUUCUGCCUUGGCCUCCUACCUGCAUGAGUGGCUGGCCACUCUCGGCAUCCACUGCCCACCGUCUGUGGCCACAGGCGAUUCUGCUAAUCUGAGCCAUCUGUGCAUCUUGAUCACAAGGAAGAUACCACCCUAAGCCUCCAAGGCCAGUUGGCCAAACAGAGAUUUGGCCACUCCUCCAGGAAGAGGUUUCUCAUUAUGUCAGAUGCGCAUCUCUGUCAGAAGCCCUUGCAAACAGUCAAACCAUUUUGUACUAUCAUUUCUGAUACGCAGCUCAAGAGGCACCAUGGGUACAAUCACAUCUGACAUAAUAUAGCUGCUAGAACACUUGGCCUGGCAGUUUUAGAAAGGGACUUUCAUGAUUAAAACACUCUUUCUCAGGGCAGCAUCUGCGAUGCCACCUACAUCUUUUGCCUGAGGGAUUCCCAGAGGGUCAAUAUCACCUCCUUUU